rnacentral:rRNA from 1 species
CGAUACAGGGUGACAGCCCCGUACACAAAAAUGCACAUACUGUGAGCUCGAUGAGUAGGGCGGGACACGUGGUAUCCUGUCUGAAUAUGGGGGGACCAUCCUCCAAGGCUAAAUACUCCUGACUGACCGAUAGUGAACCAGUACCGUGAGGGAAAGGCGAAAAGAACCCCGGCGAGGGGAGUGAAAAAGAACCUGAAACCGUGUACGUACAAGCAGUGGGAGCACGCUUAGGCGUGUGACUGCGUACCUUUUGUAUAAUGGGUCAGCGACUUAUAUUCUGUAGCAAGGUUAACCGAAUAGGGGAGCCGAAGGGAAACCGAGUCUUAACUGGGCGUUAAGUUGCAGGGUAUAGACCCGAAACCCGGUGAUCUAGCCAUGGGCAGGUUGAAGGUUGGGUAACACUAACUGGAGGACCGAACCGACUAAUGUUGAAAAAUUAGCGGAUGACUUGUGGCUGGGGGUGAAAGGCCAAUCAAACCGGGAGAUAGCUGGUUCUCCCCGAAAGCUAUUUAGGUAGCGCCUCGUGAAUUCAUCUCCGGGGGUAGAGCACUGUUUCGGCAAGGGGGUCAUCCCGACUUACCAACCCGAUGCAAACUGCGAAUACCGGAGAAUGUUAUCACGGGAGACACACGGCGGGUGCUAACGUCCGUCGUGAAGAGGGAAACAACCCAGACCGCCAGCUAAGGUCCCAAAGUCAUGGUUAAGUGGGAAACGAUGUGGGAAGGCCCAGACAGCCAGGAUGUUGGCUUAGAAGCAGCCAUCAUUUAAAGAAAGCGUAAUAGCUCACUGGUCGAGUCGGCCUGCGCGGAAGAUGUAACGGGGCUAAACCAUGCACCGAAGCUGCGGCAGCGACGCUGAUGCGUUGUUGGGUAGGGGAGCGUUCUGUAAGCCUGUGAAGGUGUGCUGUGAGGCAUGCUGGAGGUAUCAGAAGUGCGAAUGCUGACAUAAGUAACGAUAAAGCGGGUGAAAAGCCCGCUCGCCGGAAGACCAAGGGUUCCUGUCCAACGUUAAUCGGGGCAGGGUGAGUCGACCCCUAAGGCGAGGCCGAAAGGCGUAGUCGAUGGGAAACAGGUUAAUAUUCCUGUACUUGGUGUUACUGCGAAGGGGGGACGGAGAAGGCUAUGUUGGCCGGGCGACGGUUGUCCCGGUUUAAGCGUGUAGGCUGGUUUUCCAGGCAAAUCCGGAAAAUCAAGGCUGAGGCGUGAUGACGAGGCACUACGGUGCUGAAGCAACAAAUGCCCUGCUUCCAGGAAAAGCCUCUAAGCAUCAGGUAACAUCAAAUCGUACCCCAAACCGACACAGGUGGUCAGGUAGAGAAUACCAAGGCGCUUGAGAGAACUCGGGUGAAGGAACUAGGCAAAAUGGUGCCGUAACUUCGGGAGAAGGCACGCUGAUAUGUAGGUGAAGCGACUUGCUCGUGGAGCUGAAAUCAGUCGAAGAUACCAGCUGGCUGCAACUGUUUAUUAAAAACACAGCACUGUGCAAACACGAAAGUGGACGUAUACGGUGUGACGCCUGCCCGGUGCCGGAAGGUUAAUUGAUGGGGUCAGCGCAAGCGAAGCUCUUGAUCGAAGCCCCGGUAAACGGCGGCCGUAACUAUAACGGUCCUAAGGUAGCGAAAUUCCUUGUCGGGUAAGUUCCGACCUGCACGAAUGGCGUAAUGAUGGCCAGGCUGUCUCCACCCGAGACUCAGUGAAAUUGAACUCGCUGUGAAGAUGCAGUGUACCCGCGGCAAGACGGAAAGACCCCGUGAACCUUUACUAUAGCUUGACACUGAACAUUGAGCCUUGAUGUGUAGGAUAGGUGGGAGGCUUUGAAGUGUGGACGCCAGUCUGCAUGGAGCCGGCCUUGAAAUACCACCCUUUAAUGUUUGAUGUUCUAACGUUGACCCGUGAUCCGGGUUGCGGACAGUGUCUGGUGGGUAGUUUGACUGGGGCGGUCUCCUCCUAAAGAGUAACGGAGGAGCACGAAGGUUGGCUAAUCCUGGUCGGACAUCAGGAGGUUAGUGCAAUGGCAUAAGCCAGCUUGACUGCGAGCGUGACGGCGCGAGCAGGUGCGAAAGCAGGUCAUAGUGAUCCGGUGGUUCUGAAUGGAAGGGCCAUCGCUCAACGGAUAAAAGGUACUCCGGGGAUAACAGGCUGAUACCGCCCAAGAGUUCAUAUCGACGGCGGUGUUUGGCACCUCGAUGUCGGCUCAUCACAUCCUGGGGCUGAAGUAGGUCCCAAGGGUAUGGCUGUUCGCCAUUUAAAGUGGUACGCGAGCUGGGUUUAGAACGUCGUGAGACAGUUCGGUCCCUAUCUGCCGUGGGCGCUGGAGAACUGAGGGGGGCUGCUCCUAGUACGAGAGGACCGGAGUGGACGCAUCACUGGUGUUCGGGUUGUCAUGCCAAUGGCACUGCCCGGUAGCUAAAUGCGGAAGAGAUAAGUGCUGAAAGCAUCUAAGCACGAAACUUGCCCCGAGAUGAGUUCUCCCUGACUCCUUGAGAGUCCUGAAGGAACGUUGAAGACGACGACGUUGAUAGGCCGGGUGUGUAAGCGCAGCGAUGCGUUGAGCUAACCGGUACUAAUGAACCGUGAGG